UGUGCCAUGGGCAGUAUAUUUUGAUUCUUUUUGCGUGAUAUUUAUUCAUCCCUUCAACCGCCUCAUCUCGGAUCCCAAUUGUCUCGAGUUAAUCACUGAUGCACAAUCUAAUUGCACGCUGGGCACGAGUAAAAACGACGUGCUGGGGCGUGGGUUGGUGCCUCAGAUAGCAAGGUAUACGCAAUCGAAGCAGCAUGGAAGUUUCGUGGUAGGUGGGGACCGGUUUGGGGUCCACGAGAUAAGUUCUAGGGUGUUCUAGGAGCUGAGAAAGAGUGAUGUGUAGAUGGGCUUAAAAAUUACCGACAAGUAGAAGGGGAGUCAACUAAAGAUUCAAGUAGCAAAACAACCAACGGUGAAGGAUUGCAACUUCGUUGGUAUUGAAUCGAUAACGAUUUUGGAGCAGUUAGAAGCUUUAAGAAGGUGGCCGGGCUGAAUAAAUGAAUUUCAGCGUCCGAAAUACCUCUUGAAACAGCUUUUGAAGCCUCGUGUGAUGGUGCUCACAUCGGAACUCCUACUUGUAGUAGUAUGUUACUGGGACUGGAUGGAGACAUCUUGAUCUGCUGGAUAAGAGAUUUAUUUUGAACCACUCAAGUCCAUUAGAUUCAUUGGAUGACUUGGUUGAUUGAUUGAAAAGAACUGCAGAAAUCUGAUCAGCAGAUUGCUAUAGCUGGCUUAC
rnacentral:misc_RNA from 1 species